UACGGUAGGGUGCAAGCGUUGUCCGGAAUUAUUGGGCGUAAAGAGCUCGUAGGCGGUCUGUCGCGUCUGCUGUGAAAUCUCAGGGCUUAACCCUGAGCUUGCAGUGGGUACGGGCAGACUAGAGGUGCGGUAGGGGAGACUGGAAUUCCCGGUGUAGCGGUGAAAUGCGUAGAUAUCGGGAGGAAUACCAGUGGCGAAGGCGGCCUUCUGGACGGAUACUGACGCUGAGGCGCGGAAAGCCAGGGGAGCAAACGGGG
rnacentral:rRNA from 1 species